rnacentral:tRNA from 1 species
AGAAACUUAGGAUUAACCGUCACCCAAACCAAAGGCCUUCAAAGCCUUAAAUAAGAGUUAAACUCUCUUAGUUUCUGCCCCAC